GGCGGCGAGUGGCGAACGGGUGAGUAAUACAUCGGAACGUGCCCAAUCGUGGGGGAUAACGCAGCGAAAGCUGUGCUAAUACCGCAUACGAUCUACGGAUGAAAGCAGGGGAUCGCAAGACCUUGCGCGAAUGGAGCGGCCGAUGGCAGAUUAGGUAGUUGGUGAGGUAAAGGCUCACCAAGCCUUCGAUCUGUAGCUGGUCUGAGAGGACGACCAGCCACACUGGGACUGAGACACGGCCCAGACUCCUACGGGAGGCAGCAGUGGGGAAUUUUGGACAAUGGGCGAAAGCCUGAUCCAGCCAUGCCGCGUGCAGGAUGAAGGCCUUCGGGUUGUAAACUGCUUUUGUACGGAACGAAACGGCCUUUUCUAAUAAAGAGGGCUAAUGACGGUACCGUAGGAAUAAGCACCGGCUAACUACGUGCCAGCAGCCGCGGUAAUACGUAGGGUGCAAGCGUUAAUCGGAAUUACUGGGCGUAAAGCGUGCGCAGGCGGUUAUGUAAGACAGUUGUGAAAUCCCCGGGCUCAACCUGGGAACUGCAUCUGUGACUGCAUAGCUAGAGUACGGUAGAGGGGGAUGGAAUUCCGCGUGUAGCAGUGAAAUGCGUAGAUAUGCGGAGGAACACCGAUGGCGAAGGC
rnacentral:rRNA from 1 species